rnacentral:misc_RNA from 1 species
CGUCAUCCUAGGAAGCAGUUCCAGCGGCCGACGUCGAUAGUCUCGGAUGCCGAAGUAGUGCCGCUUGUGGUCUUCGACAUUCGAUUAGAAUUAGUGAAAUUCAGUGUUAUCAAUCUCUAAUUAAGCCUCAAUACUCAACCUAUCAACACAAACUUACAAACGAAGAAGUGGAUGCCAAACAGUGAAAACACGACAGUAUUGCUUCUGUUGCUGUCUAAAACGAGGAACCCAGAAAGGCCAGUCCAAAGGAGAGCAUCAUGGCGUUCGCCGGUCUGAAGAAACAGAUCAAUAAAGCCAACCAAUAUGUGACGGAGAAGAUGGGUGCCGCGGAAGGCACAAAAAUGGACGAUGACUUCGUCGAGAUGGAAAGGAAAACGGAUGUUACCUAUGAGCUUGUGGAGGAACUCCAAAUGAAAACCAAGGAGUUCUUGCAACCCAAUCCUACUGCUCGAGCCAAAAUGGCUGCAGUCAAAGCAGGAAUUAGCAAACUAAGCGGACAAGCCAAAGCAGCAACCUACCCGCAGCCGGAAGGAACCCUUGGGGAGACGAUGUUGGUCUAUGGACGCAAACUGGGCGAGGAAUCUGUUUUCGGCGCUGCGCUCAUCGAGUCCGGUGAAACAAUGAAGCAGUUGGCCGAUGUUAAAUACGCCUUGGACGAUAACGUCAAGCAGAAUUUCCUGGAGCCGCUGCAUCAUUUGCAAAGCAAAGACUUGAAAGAAGUUUUGCAUCACCGCAAGAAGUUACAUGGUCGCCGUUUGGAUUUCGAUUGUAAAAAACGCAAGCAGACCAAAGGAGGUAGUAGCGGUAACCUCCAAUCCAGCAGUCCUUAUGGGAGCCCUGCACGUUCUCCCUCACCCUACCGGGGCACUGGCUCGUCUGUGACUGAGGAUGAGAUUCGUCAAGCGGAGGAGAAAUUUGCCGAAUCGCUUCAUCUGGCCCAGAUGGGAAUGCAUAACAUUCUGGAUAACGAUGUGGAGCAAAUUGCGCAAUUGGCUUUCUUUGCCGAAGGACUGCUCGAGUACCACAAACAGUGUACUGAUAUUCUGAAAGUGCUAACAGAAACACUUCAUGACAAACGGAAUGAAGCAGCAAGCAAGCCCCGCAAGGAAUUUAUCCCCAAGACAUUGGCCGAUUUGCCAAUGUCAAUGGGUGGAGAAAUGAUAUCUUCAACUGGUCGUACUACACCGUCGAGUCUAACGGAGGGACUGAAUGGAAUGAAUAACGCCAAAACACCCAGCGCAGUGUCUCCGGGUUCAGCACCUGGCUGGGACCCGUUCGGUCAGAAUGCUCCUGUACCGCAAGGUCGUACCAACUCUAGGCCACAGCCUAGUGCUACAGCUGUUUACGAUUUUGAUCCUGAAAACCCUGGUGAAUUGGGUUUCAAGGAAGGAGAUUGCAUCACUCUCACCAGCCGUAUUGACGAGAACUGGUUCGAAGGUAGUCUCAAUGGCAAAACGGGUUUCUUUCCCGUCAAUUAUGUGCAUGUGACGGUGCCGCUUCCUUAAUGAUACAAUAAAGAAAAAUUGGUGGUAAAGAAUACGGAGUGCUGAGCCGAUUAUGCCGAAAGAAACCAGACAACAAGAAAACACAUAGCAACCGGGUUGUAUUACUUUUUGUUUGCCCUUUUGUUAUCAAACAAGAUCAGCAGUUGUGUUCUUGCUUCGUUAAAUUUAGCAUCCAGUCGUAUCCAUUUUACAUCACGUGUUAAAUAAAAAAUUACUAAAUUCUGAGUGUUAUUCAGGUUCGGAAUGUUGGACUAUCCGAUUUCUGAUUUCUGACUAAAUGUUUUACUCUUUGUCUUUUCUCCCUGUCUUUACGUUCUUCCCUCUUCCUACUUAAUCCUCUUGCUCGGGGAAUAUAUAAUUCUAACCAGUUCACUGCAGUAUAAUUCAAAUUUAGUUUGGAGCUAAUAGUUAUCAUUAUCUCCUUUUUCUUGUUUGGCAAACAUUCUCUAUCCGUCGUUUACAAGCAUAAUAUGGUAACUGUAUUCUCUUCUCAUAAUCAGCUACAACGCUGUAAUGCCGUUGUAUAAUUUAAGAACCACCACCAUCUUCUGUAUUUUGAAUCUUAUUUCUCUAUAUUACCUGUACUUAGUAAGAAAAAGAAUGUUGUCGUGUGAUUAAAAGGCCGUUGUUUAAAAGGUU